UCUAGGAGCAAGGUCGCUCCGCCUCGGUGGUGGUCACGUCCGGCCAGCUGUGGCCGCAUCCCUGUCGGCUAGCUCGGGUCUGGCCCACGGUGACUGUUACCCCUGGGGAAUGGGGCAGCUCUGAUCCAUCCAACGCUGCUGCACUGGAGACGGGGUCAGAAAUCAGGAGUGAGGACUUGUUGAAAGAAAUAGGAAGGAAUCAGAUCACAUAAAUGCUGGCCCCAAAUGUUUGCAUCAUAAACCCAUUGCCUAAUUUUACAGAUGAGAAAAUAAAGCUCUCUAAAUAACCACAAAGCUCCUACUCCUACUUCAGACAUAUCAGAAAAAUGAGAUAAUAAUGCACAAACCAAGUUUCAAAAGCUCUGUGGUAGG
rnacentral:lncRNA from 1 species